rnacentral:rRNA from 1 species
AGUGAACGCUGGCGGUAGGCCUAACACAUGCAAGUCGAACGGCAGCACAGUAAGAGCUUGCUCUUACGGGUGGCGAGUGGCGGACGAGUGAGGAAUACAUCGGAAUCUACUUUUUCGUGGGGGAUAACGUAGGGAAACUUACGCUAAUACCGCAUACGACCUACGGGUGAAAGCAGGGGAUCUUCGGACCUUGCGCGAUUGAAUGAGCCGAUGUCGGAUUAGCUAGUUGGCGGGGUAAAGGCCCACCAAGGCGACGAUCCGUAGCUGGUCUGAGAGGAUGAUCAGCCACACUGGAACUGAGACACGGUCCAGACUCCUACGGGAGGCAGCAGUGGGGAAUAUUGGACAAUGGGCGCAAGCCUGAUCCAGCCAUACCGCGUGGGUGAAGAAGGCCUUCGGGUUGUAAAGCCCUUUUGUUGGGAAAGAAAAGCAGCAGGUUAAUACCCCGCUGUUCUGACGGUACCCAAAGAAUAAGCACCGGCUAACUGCGU